GAUGAACGCUGGCGGUAUGCUUAACACAUGCAAGUCGAACGGACUCUUCGGAGUUAGUGGCGGACGGGUGAGUAACGCGUGAGAAUCUGGCUUUGGGUUCGGGACAACCACUGGAAACGGUGGCUAAUACCGGAUGUGCCGAGAGGUAAAAGAGAAAUUGCCUGAAGAUGAGCUCGCGUCUGAUUAGCUAGUUGGUGAGGUAAAGGCUCACCAAGGCAGCGAUCAGUAGCUGGUCUGAGAGGAUGACCAGCCACACUGGGACUGAGACACGGCCCAGACUCCUACGGGAGGCAGCAGUGGGGAAUUGUCCGCAAUGGGCGAAAGCCUGACGGAGCCAUACCGCGUGAGGGAAGAAGGCUCUUGGGUUGUAAACCUCUUUUCUUAGGGAAGAACAAAAUGACGGUACCUAAGGAAUCAGCAUCGGCUAACUCCGUG
rnacentral:rRNA from 1 species